GACGAACGCUGGCGGCGUGCUUAACACAUGCAAGUCGAACGAUGAAGCCGGAGCUUGCUCUGGUGAAUUAGUGGCGAACGGGUGAGUAACACGUGAGUAACCUGCCCUUGACUCUGGGAUAACUGCUAGAAAUGGUAGCUAAUACCGGAUACGACCCUCGGAGGCAUCUCCAGGGGGUGGAAAGAAUUUCGGUCAAGGAUGGACUCGCGGCCUAUCAGCUAGUUGGUGAGGUAACGGCUCACCAAGGCGACGACGGGUAGCCGGGCUGAGAGGGUGACCGGCCACACUCGGACUGGGACACGGCCCAGACUCCUACGGGAGGCAGCAGUGGGGAAUAUUGCACAAUGGGCGCAAGCCUGAUGCAGCAACGCCGCGUGAGGGAUGACGGCCUUCGGGUUGUAAACCUCUUUUAGUAGGGAAGAAGCGAAAGUGACGGUACCUGCAGAAAAAGCACCGGCUAACUACGUGCCAGCCGCCGCCGUAA
rnacentral:rRNA from 1 species